CGCCGCAUCGGAGCACGCGCGUGCGCGACGACGUCCCCGCCUCGCUCGGCCCGGGAGUUAGGGCGCGAUGGCGGCGCCGCCGGCCAGGGCUCGGGCCGACUACGACUACCUCAUCAAGCUCCUCCUCAUCGGCGACAGCGGUGUUGGAAAAAGUUGUCUGCUCCUACGGUUCUCAGAUGGCUCCUUCACCACUAGCUUCAUCACAACUAUUGGUAUCGACUUCAAGAUAAGGACUGUUGAGUUGGAUGGCAAACGGAUCAAGUUGCAGAUCUGGGAUACUGCUGGCCAAGAGCGCUUUCGGACUAUAACUACUGCCUACUACAGGGGGGCGAUGGGCAUUUUACUUGUUUAUGAUGUCACGGAUGAGGCGUCAUUCAAUAACAUAAGAAAUUGGAUCAAAAACAUUGAACAGCAUGCUUCAGAUAACGUGAGCAAAAUUUUGGUGGGGAACAAAGCGGAUAUGGAUGAAAGCAAAAGGGCUGUUCCCACUUCAAAGGGCCAGGCCCUGGCCGAUGAAUAUGGCAUUCAGUUCUUUGAAGCGAGUGCAAAGACAAACAUGAAUGUCGAGCAGGUUUUCUUCUCUAUAGCAAGAGACAUCAAACAGAGACUCUCGGAGGCUGAUUCCAAGGCUGAGGGGGGGACUAUCAAGAUCAACACGGAGGGUGAUGCCAGUGCAGCAGCAGGACAGAAGUCGGCUUGCUGUGGGUCUUGAACCGUCGUCGUCGCUACGGGGAAAAAAGAUGGAUUUGGGCAAAUUUGGUGUUGAGUCAGAGCAAUUACUUUGCAGUAUCGGUGGAAUUUUUUUGUUUUUCUUGAGAUGAAACUCUGCUGCUCCAUUAAGGCCGCUAAACCCGGUACAU
rnacentral:rRNA from 1 species